UACGGAGGGAGCUAGCGUUGUUCGGAAUUAUUGGGCGUAAAGAGCUCGUAGGCGGUUCGUCACGUCUGCUGUGAAAACUGGAGGCUCAACCUCCAGCUUGCAGUGGGUACGGGCAGACUAGAGUGCGGUAGGGGAGAUUGGAAUUCCUGGUGUAGCGGUGGAAUGCGCAGAUAUCAGGAGGAACACCGAUGGCGAAGGCAGAUCUCUGGGCCGUAACUGACGCUGAGGAGCGAAAGCGUGGGGAGCGAACAGG
rnacentral:rRNA from 1 species